rnacentral:rRNA from 1 species
CCUUACACAUGCAAGUCGAACGGCAGCACGGGUGCUUGCACCUGGUGGCGAGUGGCGAACGGGUGAGUAAUACAUCGGAACGUACCUUAUCGUGGGGGAUAACGCAGCGAAAGCUGUGCUAAUACCGCAUACGCCCUGAGGGGGAAAGCGGGGGAUCGCAAGACCUCGCGCGAUUAGAGCGGCCGAUGCCUGAUUAGCUUGUUGGUGGGGUAAAAGCCCACCAAGGCGACGAUCAGUAGCUGGUCUGAGAGGACGAUCAGCCACACUGGGACUGAGACACGGCCCAGACUCCUACGGGAGGCAGCAGUGGGGAAUUUUGGACAAUGGGGGCAACCCUGAUCCAGCAAUGCCGCGUGAGUGAAGAAGGCCUUCGGGUUGUAAAGCUCUUUUGUCAGGGAAGAAACACCGGCUCUAACACAGUCCGGGAAUGACGGUACCUGAAGAAUAAGCACCGGCUAACUACGUGCCAGCAGCCGCGGUAAUACGUAGGGUGCGAGCGUUAAUCGGAAUUACUGGGCGUAAAGCGUGCGCAGGCGGUUAUACAAGACAGGCGUGAAAUCCCCGGGCUUAACCUGGGAAUGGCGCCUGUGACUGUAUAGCUAGAGUGUGUCAGAGGGGGGUAGAAUUCCACGUGUAGCAGUGAAAUGCGUAGAUAUGUGGAGGAAUACCAAUGGCGAAGGCAGCCCCCUGGGAUAACACUGACGCUCAUGCACGAAAGCGUGGGGAGCAAACAGGAUUAGAUACCCUGGUAGUCCACGCCCUAAACGAUGCUGACUAGUUGUUCGGGAUUUACAUCCUGAGUAACGUAGCUAACGCGUGAAGUCAGCCGCCUGGGGAGUACGGUCGCAAGAUUAAAACUCAAAGGAAUUGACGGGGACCCGCACAAGCGGUGGAUGAUGUGGAUUAAUUCGAUGCAACGCGAAAAACCUUACCUACCCUUGACAUGUCACUAACGAAGUAGAGAUACAUUAGGUGCUCGU